rnacentral:tRNA from 1 species
UGGCUCAGUGGUUAAGAGCACUGGCUGCUGUUUCAGAGGACCUGGGUUCAAUUCCCAG